rnacentral:rRNA from 1 species
GUCUGCACCCUUGUCUUUGCGCACUCAUGUUUCCUCGGCAGGCUUGCCUGCCGCUAGGACAACCUAAACUCUUGAAUUUUCAAUCAGCGUCUAAAAAACUAUAAUAUUUACAACUUUCAACAACGGAUCUCUUGGUUCUGGCAUCGAUGAAGAACGCAGCGAAAUGCGAUAAGUAGUGUGAAUUGCAGAAUUCAGUGAAUCAUCGAAUCUUUGAACGCACAUUGCGCCCCUUGGUAUUCCAUGGGGCAUGCCUGUUCGAGCGUCAUUUGUACUCUCAAGCUCUGCUUGGUGUUGGGUGCUGUCUGGCUAACAGACUCGCCUCAAAAGAAUUGGCAGCCAGUGUAUUGGUCUUGAGCGCAGCACAAUUUGCACUCUUGCCAGCUAUAUCUGGUAUCCAGAAGCCUUUUACAUCACGCUUGACCUCGGAUCAGGUAGGGAUACCCGC